AUUGAACGCUGGCGGCAUGCUUUACACAUGCAAGUCGAACGGCAGCGCGGGCUUCGGCCUGGCGGCGAGUGGCGAACGGGUGAGUAAUGCAUCGGAACGUGCCCAGUAGUGGGGGAUAGCCCGGCGAAAGCCGGAUUAAUACCGCAUACGACCUGAGGGUGAAAGCGGGGGACCGAAAGUACUCGCGCUAUUGGAGCGGCCGAUGUCGGAUUAGCUAGUUGGUGGGGUAAAGGCUUACCAAGGCGACGAUCCGUAGCUGGUCUGAGAGGACGACCAGCCAAACUGGGACGGGGAAACGGCCCAGACUCCUACGGGAGGCAGAAGUGGGGAAUUUUGGACAAUGGGGGCAACCCUGAUCCAGCCAUGCCGCGUGCGGGAAGAAGGCCUUCGGGUUGUAAACCGCUUUUGUUCGGGAAGAAAUCCUCUGGGCUAAUACCCCGGGGGGAUGACGGUACCGGAAGAAUAAGCACCGGCUAACUACGUG
rnacentral:rRNA from 1 species